AAGGACGCCUCCCGGCCCUCCCGUCCGCGGGUGGGGCGCCCGCCGGAGGAUAACCAAACUCUGAUUUAACGACGUUUCUUCUGAGUGACACAAGUAAUAAUCAAAACUUUUAACAACGGAUCUCUUGGUUCUGGCAUCGAUGAAGAACGCAGCGAAAUGCGAUAAGUAAUGUGAAUUGCAGAAUUCAGUGAAUCAUCGAAUCUUUGAACGCACAUUGCGCCCGCCAGCAUUCUGGCGGGCAUGCCUGUUCGAGCGUCAUUUCAACCCUCAAGCUCUGCUUGGUUUUGGGGCCCUACGGUUGACGUAGGCCCUUAAAGGUAGUGGCGGACCCUCUCGGAGCCUCCUUUGCGUAGUAACAUUUCGUCUCGCAUUGGGAUUCGGAGGGACUCUUGCCGUAAAACCCCCAAUUUUUCUAAGGUUGACCUCGGAUCAGGUAGGAAUACCCGCUGAACUUAAGCAUAUCAAAAGCCGGGAGGAAU
rnacentral:sRNA from 1 species